rnacentral:rRNA from 1 species
AAACUGACGCGUUGGAUGAGGAGAAGUGGCUUAAUAUGCUUGGCACGUUCGUCAAGGACUGGUUUAGAUAUGAGUCACAUUUUGUUCAUGGUAGAGAUUCUCUUGUUGACAUUUUAAAAGAGCGUGGAUUACUAUCUGAGUCCGAUGCUGUUCAACCACUAAUAGGUAAGAAAUCAUGAGUCAAGUUACUGAACAAUCCGUACGUUUCCAGACCGCUU